CUGAUUCGCUGACGAGUGGCGGACGGGUGAGUAAUGUCUGGGAAACUGCCUGAUGGAGGGGGAUAACUACUGGAAACGGUAGCUAAUACCGCAUAACGUCGCAAGACCAAAGAGGGGGACCUUCGGGCCUCUUGCCAUCGGAUGUGCCCAGAUGGGAUUAGCUUGUUGGUGGGGUAACGGCUCACCAAGGCGACGAUCCCUAGCUGGUCUGAGAGGAUGACCAGCCACACUGGAACUGAGACACGGUCCAGACUCCUACGGGAGGCAGCAGUGGGGAAUAUUGCACAAUGGGCGCAAGCCUGAUGCAGCCAUGCCGCGUGUAUGAAGAAGGCCUUCGGGUUGUAAAGUACUUUCAGCGGGGAGGAAGGGAGUAAAGUUAAUACCUUUGCUCAUUGACGUUACCCGCAGAAGAAGCACCGGGCUAACUCCGUGCCAGCAGCCGCGGUAAUACGGAGGGUGCAAGCGUUUAAUCGGAAUUACUGGGCGUAAAGCGCACGCAGGCGGUUUGUUAAGUCAGAUGUGAAAUCCCCGGGCUCAACCUGGGAACUGCAUCUGAUACUGGCAAGCUUGAGUCUCGUAGAGGGGGGUAGAAUUCCAGGUGUAGCGGUGAAAUGCGUAGAGAUCUGGAGGAAUACCGGUGGCGAAGGCGGCCCCCUGGACGAAGACUGACGCUCAGGUGCGAAAGCGUGGGGAGCAAACAGGAUUAGAUACCCUGGUAGUCCACGCCGUAAACGAUGUCGACUUGGAGGUUGUGCCCUUGAGGCGUGGCUUCCGGAGCUAACGCGUUAAGUCGACCGCCUGGGGAGUACGGCCGCAAGGUUAAAACUCAAAUGAAUUGACGGGGGCCCGCACAAGCGGUGGAGCAUGUGGUUUAAUUCGAUGCAACGCGAAGAACCUUACCUGGUCUUGACAUCCACGGAAGUUUUCAGAGAUGAGAAUGUGCCUUCGGGAACCGUGAGACAGGUGCUGCAUGGCUGUCGUCAGCUCGUGUUGUGAAAUGUUGGGUUAAGUCCCGCAACGAGCGCAACCCUUAUCCUUUGUUGCCAGCGGUCCGGCCGGGAACUCAAAGGAGACUGCCAGUGAUAAACUGGAGGAAGGUGGGGAUGACGUCAAGUCAUCAUGGCCCUUACGACCAGGGCUACACACGUGCUACAAUGGCGCAUACAAAGAGAAGCGACCUCGCGAGAGCAAGCGGACCUCAUAAAGUGCGUCGUAGUCCGGAUUGGAGUCUGCAACUCGACUCCAUGAAGUCGGAAUCGCUAGUAAUCGUGGAUCAGAAUGCCACGGUGAAUACGUUCCCGGGCCUUGUACACACCGCCCGUCACACCAUGGGAGUGGGUUGCAAAAGAAG
rnacentral:rRNA from 1 species